CGCUGCCCCCUCCCCUCCGCCCGUCCCUCAGUCCCGGGGCGCCGGCGUGUCUGGGCAGAGCCGCGGGCAGCGCAGCGCCGAGGAGCAGCGAUGGGCAGCAAAGGACACUACAGAUACCACUGGCAGAGCCACAAUGUCAAGCACAGCGGAGUGGAUGAUAUGGUCCUGCUUUCCAAAAUCACUGAGGAUUCCAUAGUGGAGAACCUAAAGAAACGAUACAUGGAUGACUAUAUUUUUACGUACAUUGGCUCUGUGUUAAUCUCUGUGAACCCUUUCAAGCAAAUGCCGUAUUUUGGGGAAAAGGAAAUUGAAAUGUACCAAGGAGCAGCACAGUAUGAAAACCCACCACAUAUUUAUGCUCUUGCAGACAGCAUGUACAGAAACAUGAUUAUUGACAGAGAAAAUCAGUGUGUCAUUAUUAGUGGGGAAAGUGGUGCUGGAAAGACUGUAGCUGCUAAAUAUAUCAUGAGUUAUAUCUCCAAAAUUUCAGGAGGUGGUCCUAAAGUACAGCAUGUUAAAGAUAUUAUUCUACAAUCCAACCCUUUACUAGAGGCCUUUGGGAAUGCAAAAACUGUACGGAACAACAACUCCAGCAGAUUUGGGAAAUACUUUGAAAUACAAUUUAGCCCAGGUGGAGAACCAGAUGGAGGGAAAAUAUCCAACUUCCUACUGGAAAAAUCUCGAGUUGUAAUGAGGAAUCCUGGAGAGAGGAGUUUUCACAUUUUUUACCAGCUAAUUGAAGGGGCCUCCUCAGAACAAAAAAGCAGCCUUGGCAUUACCAGUAUGGACUACUAUUACUAUCUGAGUCUCUCUGGGUCCUACAAAGUCGAUGACAUCAAUGACAAAUCAGAUUUUCAAGAAACACUGCACGCAAUGAGUGUGAUUGGGAUCUUUGCAGAGGAGCAGGCAUUGGUACUGCAGAUAGUGGCAGGAAUAUUGCAUUUGGGAAACAUCAGCUUCAAAGAAGUUGGCAACUAUGCAGGAGUGGAGAGCGAGGAGUUUUUAGCUUUCCCUGCUUUUCUCCUGGGAAUUAACCAGGACCGCCUGAAGGAAAAACUGACCAGCAGACAGAUGGACAGCAAGUGGGGAGGCAAAUCUGAGUCCAUUCAUGUCACACUGAAUGUGGAACAAGCCUGCUACACCAGGGAUGCGCUGGCCAAGGCCCUUCAUUCCCGAGUUUUUGAUUACUUGGUGGAUUCUAUUAAUAAGGCUAUGGAGAAGGACCAUGAAGAAUAUAACAUUGGUGUCCUUGAUAUUUAUGGCUUUGAAAUAUUUCAGAAAAAUGGUUUUGAACAGUUCUGCAUCAACUUUGUAAAUGAAAAACUGCAGCAGAUUUUUAUUGAACUGACACUGAAGGCAGAACAGGAAGAAUAUGUGCAGGAAGGAAUUAGAUGGACACCAAUAGAAUACUUUAACAACAAAAUAGUGUGUGACCUUAUAGAGAACAAAGUGAAUCCCCCAGGGAUUAUGAGCAUUUUGGAUGACGUGUGUGCCACAAUGCACGCGGUGGGAGAAGGGGCUGACCAGACACUGCUCCAGAAACUCCAGAUGCAGAUUGGGACUCAUGAACACUUCAACAGCUGGAACCAGGGCUUUAUCAUCCAUCAUUAUGCUGGAAAGGUAUCUUAUGAUAUGGAUGGAUUCUGCGAGAGAAAUCGGGAUGUUCUUUUCAUGGACUUGAUUGAACUCAUGCAGAGCAGUGAUUUGCCUUUUAUAAAGGCUCUAUUUCCUGAAAAUCUUCAAGUGGACAAGAAGGGCCGUCCUACCACUGCAGGCAGCAAAAUCAAAAAACAAGCCAAUGACCUUGUUGGCACCCUGAUGAAGUGUACACCCCACUACAUCCGCUGCAUCAAACCCAAUGAAACAAAGAAGUCUCGAGACUGGGAGGAGAGCAGGGUAAAACAUCAAGUAGAAUACUUGGGUCUGAAAGAAAAUAUUCGAGUCAGAAGAGCUGGCUACGCCUACAGACGGGUUUUCAAGAAGUUUCUGCAGAGGUAUGCCAUUCUGACCAAAGCAACCUGGCCCUUAUGGAAAGGAGAAGAGAAACAAGGAGUCCUCCACCUGCUUCAGUCAGUCAACAUGGAUCCUGACCAGUACCAGCUGGGGAAGUCCAAAGUCUUCAUCAAAGCUCCAGAGUCUCUGUUUCUGUUAGAAGAGAUGAGGGAGAGGAAGUAUGAUGGGUAUGCCAGGGCCAUCCAGAAGGCGUGGAGGAAAUACGCAGCCAGGAAAAAAUACGUGCAGAUGAGAGAAGAAGCAUCAGACCUGCUGCUGAACAAGAAAGAGAGAAGACGGAACAGCAUUAACAGGAAUUUUGUGGGAGAUUACAUAGGCAUGGAGGAACACCCCGAGCUGCGCCAGUUUGUGGGCAAGCGAGAGAAGAUCGAUUUUGCAGACACUGUAACUAAAUAUGACAGACGGUUUAAGAGCGUGAAGCGAGAUCUCGUCCUCACUCCCAAGUGCAUUUACCUGAUCGGGCGUGAAAAGAUAAAGCAGGGCCCAGAGAAGGGCCAGGUGAAGGAAGUCUUGAAGCGGAGGAUGGAAGUGGAGAGAAUUCUUUCUGUUUCUUUAAGCACCAUGCAGGAUGAUAUUUUCAUUCUACAUGAACAGGAAUACGAUAGUUUGCUCGAAUCAGUCUUCAAAACAGAAUUUUUAAGCCUCCUAUCUAAAAGAUACGAAGAGAAAACACAAAGAAAACUACCUCUGAAAUUUAGCAAUACACUUGAAGUGAAGCUGAAGAAGGAGAGCUGGGGGCCCUGGAGUAGUGCUGGUUCUCGACAAGUGCAGUUUAUGCAAGGCCAAGGAGAUGUAGCUAUUCUCAAACCAAGUAAUAAAGUGCUGCAAAUCAGCAUUGGACCAGGGCUAUCAAAGAAUUCCCGUCCUACUAGACGGAACCUUACCCAAGGCAGAGGAUAUUCCAGUAGGUCUCAAAAUCAGACUUAUCCUAUGAGAGCUGCACCACCUCCUCCAGGUCAGCAGCAAAAUGGAGUAAUAAAUCCCCCCCAAUCUGCAGCCCAUCCCCAGAUGCCAGGAAAUCAAUGGGCCAAUCAGAAGAACCUGUUGUACACAAGUAUGACACGACCAGCUUUACCACGGCAAACGUCAGGAGGAUCAGGCAAGAUUUCACAACAACCACAAAGCUUGGAUUUCUUGAAAGUACCUGACCAAGGAGCAGCUGGCCUUUAUUAGCUGAUGAGCUGGCAAAAUGCAUUUCUUCCCUCUUUCCCCUUCCUAAUCUUUGGAGUGGUCACAGCUGUGACAGUUUGUGCAGCAUCUCCCCUGCUGCUUCAGAGUUGGCUAUAACAGAACAAGUCCAUAGAUGGCCCUGGAAUCUGAGGCAACUUAAGAGAUACCAGUCUCUGUUACAGCUUAGUCACAAGAAUGGUAAAGUAGCAAGCCUGUGAGCUAGAACUUUAUUUUUGAUACUGAAAACUAAAUCACUGGUGACUUUGGGGCAAGGGGAGAGACACAGCCUAAGCUGUGUAGAUACCAAGAUAUGCAUGAACCGCAUGUGCACAUUUGCUUCCAUUUCAGCCUGGACACUAAAUGUUUUCUAAGCAUUUGAACUGCUGUUGGGAAGUACCUACUCAUCCACUUCCAUUGAAAAAAAUGGAAACUGUCUCUCUCACAGAGAGGUCUCACACUGCUACUUUUAAUGGUUGUGACAUUCAAGAAAAUGUGUUUUCCUUGUUCUAUAUGAUGUUCUUUAAAAUGAAUUCAUUAAGAGGGGUUUGGUAAAGCUGAGGUUGAGCCCUUGGUGUCCGCAGUGUCCGCAGGCAGAGCUCGAGCCGCCCGCCGCCGGCCGGAGGAAGGCCCAAGCCGCAGCCCAAGCCCAAGCCGCAGGUGCCGCAGUGCCGCGCGCUCUACGCCUACGACGCGCAGGACACGGACGAGCUCAGCUUCAACGCCAACGACGUCAUUGACAUCAUCAAAGAAGAUCCUUCUGGCUGGUGGACAGGAAGACUACGAGGGAAACAAGGUCUGUUUCCCAACAAUUACGUCACCAAGAUUUAAAAGACUGUCAGGCAAAAAUUGGUGUAAAGGUACCAGUGGUUGAAGAUGUUUUCCCUUGCCUUCAGGACAUUGUUCUUCCAAGGUCUGCCGUUCUCAGCAGUAUUUUCACCAGUAAAUUGUGUGUGAGUGAGAAAUCACCCAAAGCACAGACUUUGCUCUUUGUCUCAGCACCAUACAGUAAUGAACUGACCAAUUAUUUAUUAUAUUUAAAACCUGGUUUAAAACACCUGGUAAGUGAAGAAUGCUCAAACCUAUCAUCUUCCUGAAACGGGUGAUUUACAGUCUGGAGCCAGGGACUUCGAAAGGGGUGUGUUUAGUAAGUGCCUUCAGCUGAAUAUCAUAAACUUUUUAAUUAUCUACUGAAGAUAAUGUUAAAUGCACAUUUCCUCUAAUGCAGAUCAUUCUGGGGAACAUGUUAAUAAGUAUGCUGCUACAUGUCAAAAAGAUUUAGGCUUAUUUGGGAUAUUACCAUCUAAAAAACUACUGUGAUGGUCUAUUUAAGUAAUUCUGUACAGAGAUGUAAUGGAACUGGUUUGUGUUUGCAGGUGUGUUUAGGGACUCCAACAGGCACUGUAAGAAUUUAAAACAGAAAACCACAUAGUACUGUAUGCUAAACAAUGUUGCCUUCUUCAAGAUUUAUAUUAUAAUAUGGCUGGCCCAUGUUGGAUUUAUGUUUAAUACUCUGCCUGUUGUUAUAGGAAGUGUCUUUAUGCAGAGCUGUACAUUUAUAGAAAUAGUUAUAUACUGUAUAUAAAAACUGGUUAUGAUAAAAACAUGUAUAAAGGUAUAAUGCAGUAGAAUCCACUGUUCUUAUUAUGAUGUAGUACUGCUAGAAUUUUUAUGCCAGGUACUUACAGAUAUGCACUACUCCUCCUCCUUUUAAAUAGCAAAAGCACAGGUGUUACUGCCCAAGUCUGAUUGCCUCCCCCAGCAGAGUGGCUGUUGCUUGCCCUGCAGUUCUGAGAAUUCCUGCUUUGCCUUUUGAACCUCCAUAAAAUAAAAUACAGGAAGAUAAACA